rnacentral:rRNA from 1 species
GACGAACGCUGGCGGCGUGCCUAAUACAUGCAAGUCGAACGCACUCUCGUUUAGAUUGAAGGAGCUUGCUCCUGAUUGAUAAACAUUUGAGUGAGUGGCGGACGGGUGAGUAACACGUGGGUAACCUGCCCUAAAGUGGGGGAUAACAUUUGGAAACAGAUGCUAAUACCGCAUAAAACCUAACACCGCAUGGUGUAGGGUUGAAAGAUGGUUUCGGCUAUCACUUUAGGAUGGACCCGCGGUGCAUUAGUUAGUUGGUGAGGUAAAGGCUCACCAAGACCGUGAUGCAUAGCCGACCUGAGAGGGUAAUCGGCCACACUGGGACUGAGACACGGCCCAGACUCCUACGGGAGGCAGCGGUAGGGAAUCUUCCACAAUGGACGAAAGUCUGAUGGAGCAACGCCGCGUGAGUGAAGAAGGUUUUCGGAUCGUAAAACUCUGUUGUUGGAGAAGAAUGUAUCUGAUAGUAACUGAUCAGGUAGUGACGGUAUCCAACCAGAAAGCCACGG